UUCAGGUAGCUCCGCUGGUUAGAGCAAAGGACUGAAAAUCCCUUUAUGAGUGGUUCGACUCCACUACCUGAAUCCA
rnacentral:tRNA from 1 species